rnacentral:rRNA from 1 species
CCUACGGGAGGCAGCAGUGAGGAAUAUUGGUCAAUGGACGAGAGUCUGAACCAGCCAAGUAGCGUGAAGGAUGACUGCCCUAUGGGUUGUAAACUUUUUUUAUAUGGGAAUAAAAUGUUCCACGUGUGGGCUUUUGUAUGUACCAUAUGAAUAAGGAUCGGCUAACUCCGUGCCAGCAGCCGCGGUAAUACGGAGGAUACGAGCGUUAUCCGGAUUUAUUGGGUUUAAAGGGAGCGUAGGUGGAUUGUUAAGUCAGUUGUGAAAGUUUGGGGCUCAACCGUAAAAUUGCAGUUGAAACUGGCAGUAUUGAGUACAGUAGAGGUGGGCGGAAUUCGUGGUGUAGCGGUGAAAUGCUUAGAUAUCACGAAGAACUCCGAUUGCGAAGGCAGUUCACUGGACUGCAACUGACACUGAGGCUCGAAAGUGUGGGGAUCAAACAGGAUUAGAUACCCCUGUAGUC